GACGAACGCUGGCGGCGCGCCUAACACAUGCAAGUCGAACGGAGCUGAGAGAAGCUUGCUUUUCUUAGCUUAGUGGCGAACGGGUGAGUAACGCGUGAGUAACCUGCCCUGGAGUGGGGGACAACAGUUGGAAACGACUGCUAAUACCGCAUAAGCCCACGAUCCGGCAUCGGAUUGAGGGAAAAGGAUUUAUUCGCUUCAGGAUGGACUCGCGUCCAAUUAGCUAGUUGGUGAGGUAACGGCCCACCAAGGCGACGAUUGGUAGCCGGACUGAGAGGUUGAACGGCCACAUUGGGACUGAGACACGGCCCAGACUCCUACGGGAAGCAGCAGUGGGGGAUAUUGCACAAUGGGGGAAACCCUGAUGCAGCGACGCCGCGUGGAGGAAGAAGGUUUUCGGAUUGUAAACUCCUGUCGUUAGGGACGAUAAUGACGGUACCUAACAAGAAAGCACCGGCUAACUACGUG
rnacentral:rRNA from 1 species